rnacentral:rRNA from 1 species
AGUGAACGCUGGCGGUAGGCCUAACACAUGCAAGUCGAACGGCAGCACAGUAAGAUCUUGCUCUUACGGGUGGCGAGUGGCGGACGGGUGAGGAAUACAUCGGAAUCUACUUUUUCGUGGGUGAUAACGGAGGGAAACUGACGCUAAUACCGCAUACGACCUACGGGUGAAAGCAGUGGAUCUUCGGACCUUUCGCGAUUGAAUGAGCCGAUGUCGGAUUAGCUAGUUGGCGGGGUAAAGGCCCACCAAGGCGACGAUCCGUAGCUGAUCUGAGAGGAUGAUCAGCCACACUGGAACUGAGACACGGUCCAGACUCCUACGGGAGGCAGCAGUGGGGAAUAUUGGACAAUGGGCGCAAGCCUGAUCCAGCCAUACCGCGUGGGUGAAGAAGGUCUUCGGGUUGUAAAGCCCUUUUGUUGGGAAAGAAAAACAGCAGGUUAAUCCCCCGCUGUUCUGACGGUACCCAAAGAAUAAGCACCGGCUAACUUCGUG